UUAAAUAUUAUAAGCGCUAUAUUGCUUAAGCAAGCACCCCUUAGUUAUUCUAGUAUGGGACAAUAUCUAAGGGCAGGGCAAUCGUUUCGGUCUUGGUCCCAGAUCCAGAUUUCCAAUUAAACAAAAGUCCUAAGCAAGCCAGACAAGUAAGGAAAGGAAUACCAUUAUUCAGGAACUCUCAACUGCGGUAUAUGAUACUGACCAUAACUCCAAUAAGAAAUAUUGAUAGGAAGGUCAAUUGACUGAAAUUAACAUGAAGUGAUAAAUCCAACUCCAAGAUAAAUGAGGAAAAACAAAAUUAUGAUACCAAAGAUUACAAAAUAGACCCUUCAAAAGUUUCCUCCUUCCCUAAGAAUUUAAAAAGUCAAAGUAUGCACUGACAUGUUUUAAGAAAUUAGGAUAGCAAAAUCAAAGUAGAUAACUUCGGUCAAAGUAAGACAGUAAUGGCAACAGGAACAAAAAACUAUCAUGUAAAAUGUAACAACGAAAAAUACUAACAAUCACCAUUAAAGUUGAAGCACUAGUUGUAGCUUGAACUAUACUUAGGAAGAGUAUAAACAGUAAUAAAAAAAAAAAAAGGGCCUGAACAGAUUCAAGUGGCUGUUCUACGAAAACAGCUUAAAACUGUUUUUUUUUUUAUUAAAAAAAAAAAAAGAGAGAGAGAGUUAGAGACCACUAGAAAAAAGGAUAUCAAAAUUUGAGCAACAGUCAGCAGCGAAAGUCUCAUAGUAAGUGCUAGGAAUAACAUGUCGCUCACUUGAAUAGAAAUCUAAGUUCUACUUUAAGCAUGAAAAAGUUCACAGACUCCGACAUUACUCAAAAGUUGCAGCAGAAAACAUAGUGAGGAAUGAAAAUGUUUGGCAAAGAAUUCACGUCUACAAAGGAAGUAAAAUUCACAUCGCUUCCCGAGUUCUUUAGGGGAAAUCGUGAAACUCGACCAUCGCAGCAGACAAAUAACAUCUCCCGAGUCGGAGGUUUUUCCGUGCGAUGGUUCAUCUUUACGAAGUCGUCGAAAAGGGAACUGAACAGGGAUUUAGGCUGGAAACGAGCCCAUUUCUAGUAUCCGAUAGGCCUACACUCUCCAAGAAUGAUCCCAUUACUCCACCUUUUUUAAAAAAUAAUAAUAACAAUAAUAAAGCUCACAUUAUCUUCAUACGUACGUUGAAUUAUUAAUUUAUAAGUUAUAAUUUUGAAUUUUUAAAAAUUAUAAUUAAACAGAUAAAAAG
rnacentral:lncRNA from 1 species